UAUGUCGGGUAUCCGGCCUGAGAGGGUGAUCGGACACACUGGAACUGAGACACGGUCCAGACUCCUACGGGAGGCAGCAGUAGGGAAUAUUGCUCAAUGGGCGAAAGCCUGAAGCAGCAACGCCGCGUGGAGGAUGAAGGUUUUAGGAUUGUAAACUCCUUUUGUUACAGAAGAUUAUUAC
rnacentral:rRNA from 1 species